GUAGGGACCAAGCGUUGUUCGGAUUUACUGGGCGUAAAGGGCGCGUAGGCGGCAAUUCAAGUCAUCUGUGAAAUCUCCGGGCUUAACUCGGAACGGUCAGAUGAUACUGCUUUGCUAGAGUGCGGAAGGGGCAAUCGGAAUUCUUGGUGUAGCGGUGAAAUGCGUAGAUAUCAAGAGGAACACCUGAGGUGAAGACGGGUUGCUGGGCCGACACUGACGCUGAUGCGCGAAAGCCAGGGGAGCAAACGGGAUUAGAUACCCCGGUAGUCCUGGCCCUAAACGAUGAAUACUUGGUGUCUGGAGUCUUUAAUGCUCCGGGUGCCGUCGCUAACGUUUUUAGUAUUCCGCCUGGGGAGUACGCUCGCAAGARUG
rnacentral:rRNA from 1 species